CCCUUCGAGGGGUUCUCCCACCGGGGCUUCUGCCCCGGAGGCCAAUCUCGAGAGGAUGCCACGGAUUGAGAGGAGUAGGAGGGGAAAAAUAGCAGCCUACGAAUUCUCCCACUAUCGAACUGUCACUGAGGGUUCCCACCACGUCAAAGGGGGCUCGAGGGAGAAUUCCUUCAAUAACAGAGAUUUAAUAACGAAAACA
rnacentral:lncRNA from 1 species